rnacentral:rRNA from 1 species
CCUACGGGUGGCAGCAGUGGGGGAUAUUGGACAAUGGGGGAAACCCUGAUCCAGCGACGCCGCGUGAGUGAAGAAGUAUUUCGGUAUGUAAAGCUCUAUCAGCAGGGAAGCAAGAAAUGACGGUACCUGCGUAAGAAGCCCAGGCUAACUACGUGCCAGCAGCAGCGGUAAGACGGAGGGGGCGAGCGUUAUCCGGAAUGACUGGGUGUAAAGGGAGCGUGGGCGGUAAGGCAAGUCUGGAGGGAAAGGCGGGGGGCCAAACCCCGGACUGCUCUGGAAACUGUGUAACUGGAGUGCAGGAGAGGCAGGCGGAAUUCCUAGUGUAGCGGUGAAAUGCGUAGAUAUUAGGAGGAACACCAGUGGCGAAGGCGGCCUGCUGGACUGUAACUGACGUUGAGGCUCGAAAGCGUGGGGAGCAAACAGGAUUAGAUACCCCGGUAGUC